rnacentral:rRNA from 1 species
UCCUACGGGGGGCAGCAGUGGGGAAUAUUGCACAAUGGGGGAAACCCUGAUGCAGCAACGCCGCGUGAAGGAAGACGGUUUUCGGAUUGUAAACUUCUGUUCUUAGUGAAGAAAAAUGACGGUAGCUAAGGAGCAAGCCACGGCUAACUACGUGCCAGCAGCCGCGGUAAUACGUAGGGAGCGAGCGUUGUCCGGAAUUACUGGGUGUAAAGGGAGCGUAGGCGGGACUGCAAGUUGGGUGUCAAAUCUACCGGCUCAACCGGUAGCCGCCCUCAAAACUGCAGUUCUUGAGUGAAGUAGAGGCA